UCAGAGAAGUACAACCCAACUGGAAUUUCUGUCCCUUCCUUAUAUCCCUCCGCCCAAAAUUCUAAACUCAACUCAUAACCAUGAAUCGUCAAGAUUCCAUAAGACGAGAUCGUUCAUUCGAUAGUGUUCUAAACAAAUUGAUGCGAUUGCGAUCGGAAAAUCAUGAGAGCUUCAAAGCGGCAAUGUAUAAUUUUUUGAUAGCAGCAGGCUUGGCUGCUUUCGCUGCAGUUUGUAUCAUCUUGGGACCCUUUGUAAAACCUCUGCUGUGGGCCUUCCUUAUGGGAGCAGUUCUUUUUCCAUUCAAACGCAAUCUAGCACAUCUUUUGAAAGGAUGGUUCGAAGGACUAGAAGAUCAUGAUUCAAAUGUAAUGGUUGCCAUUUGCUUGGCUCCUUUGGAAACAACUGAGUUUUGUGGACGGAAGCUUGUUGCUUGGCUGCAAGAGCAUUGGCAAAUCAUAACUGCUGGCAUGGGAAUAGCUACAUGCAUUAAACUAUUGUACUUGUAUGCUCCCAAAGGAUUUCUUUGUGCAGUCUGGCGACUAAUUACUUUUAGUCAUUCGUUGUUUGUCCAAAUUAUUGGAAUUUUAAAUAUUUAUUUAUUAAUCACCAUCAUAGUUUUGUAUCUUACAUCGGUUUACAUGUUUUGGAGGAAAGAAAACUCUGCGAGAUUUGUGAUUGCUGGCCAAUCACUAUGGAUUGCUGUAGUCAGUUAUGCUUGCAGCUUCCUUGGAGCACUACAGGUUCCUGCAUUUAUGUUAAUCAUGGCCUACAUAGGUGUAGCAAUACUUUAUUACUUAAAUAAAACCGAUGAAUCUAGUUCAAUUGUGGAGAAGAUAAAGCUUCUCAUGGACAAAAAUGCGUUCGUUCAAUCCGUUAACGAUAUAAGUACUAGUAAAACCCCAGACACCGAAGAGCAUUCCAUGGCUGAAACACUUGACUCAUUGGAAUUGGAAACUGAGAAUGACGAUCAUCUGAGUGAUUUCUACUUCAAGAUGCUCUUUUGUGCUUGUAUAGCUACAUUCCUUUAUCGCAAUGUCUGGGUAUUUAUUUUAGCAGCAAUUCCAAUCACAAUUCAUUUAGUAUACAAAGUUGGCAAAGUCACUGGUUUGACAAACUUCAUUUGGGACAAAAUUGAUACAGUCUAUAAGAAUAUUAAGGAAUGGGCUCUAGAACAUCACAGUGCUGUUCUGCCCCUAUGUCUGCCCGGUGUACUCGAGUUAAAUUACAAAAUCAACAGUAUUGUACGAAAUUCACUGAAAUCCUCAGUUGAUCUCGUGACAUCUAUUCUAAUGAUAAUUUUGAUGAUUUUAAUAAUUGUCUUCCUUGGAGUAUUCUUUUGUGUAAAUAUUUACUCCGAAACCAUUGAAGUAGCUUAUUUGGGUAAGGAUUUAAUUAAUAAGACAUUCACCGAUCGACCAGAAUUGGUGGAUAUUCUCCCAGCAAAUAUGCAAUCAUCAAUUGAUGAUGCUCUUGAUAAUGCACAUCAUUAUGGACGGCGAAAAAUCGAACAAUAUAUUGAUGAUUGGUUAAAAGAUGCAGAUCCAGUGCAUAGUGUUAAGUUGAAGAAUCAAAUAUUAGAUGUAUGGGAUCGAUUAAUACAGUAUUGGAUUGAUUUUAAUAAGUCUGAUACUUUUGGACCGAGAGUGCCAACGGAUGCACUUAAGAGUACAUUUGGUGAAAUUGUUGAUAAUCCUCGACAUUUUAAAGAGCUAGUUUUAGUGGCUAAACAGGGAAUUAUUGGAUGGGCUCAAAGCAACACUCAAACCAUCCUCGAAGUGGCCGAAUCACUUUGGCACAUUAUACGAACGAACAUAUCGAUGAUAAUGGGCUUCACUGGAGAAAUAAUAUCCUUGAUACUAUCAGGAGGUCAAGCAUGUGUUGAAUUUAUUUUGGAUAUGAUUAUUUUCUUUACUGGUUUGUUUUAUCUCCUGAGCAGCAGUGAUACAAAAUAUGCACCAUUACAAGUAACAAAGUAUUUAGGAUUUUCAUCGGGUUCAAAAAUUGCUGACGCACUUGAAAACUCGAUUUCCGGAGUUCUUAUUUCUAUGUUCAAGUGUUCCGUUUUUCAAGGACUUUUUACGUGGCUAGUUCAUACUAUUUUCGGAGCAAGAAUUGUGUUUCUGCCUUCGGCUGCUGCUGCUAUUUUAUCAGCUGCUCCAUUCUUAGGUAGUUAUUGGUGUUCUUUGCCAGCGUUUCUAGAAUUGUGGUUGGCGCAAGAUCAGUUCUAUGCUGGACUUUUAUUAUUCCUUCUGAUGUUCUUCAUUCCUCCAUACUUUGAACAAGCCAUCUAUGCCGAGAUGAAAGGCGGUGGACAUCCUUAUUUAACUGGUCUGGCUAUUGCUGGUGGUAUGUACUGGCUGGGAUGGCAAGGGGCAAUAUUUGGUCCAUUGAUGUUGUGUUUCUUUAUUGGAAUAUUUGAAGUUGCUUCCGUGGCAUUACGCUCUGAAGAUCCAAGGAGAAGUUCGGAUGAAGACACAAGAACGCCGUGAGUUCCAAUUGUUAUUCUACUCUAGUUUAUAGUGCUUUAAGGAAGAAGUAAAAAAUAACAACAUAAUCGCCGCCAUUCUUCGUUUGUGCACUGAUAUCAAUCACAAAACACAAUCACAUGGAUUGAUUCAAGCAACGAAUUUAAGCAGUGCGUGCGUGCGUGUGUGUGUUGGAACAACCUCGAAUUUGUUUAAUUUUAUUAAACGUCUAUCCUACACUAAUGCCUUAAGCUUUGAUAUUAAUUUGUUUAACAUAAUUAACAAAACUAAUUCUGUGUUUUAUUUUUAAUUUUUGUCUUUCCGUCUUUAAAUGUUAUACUUUCUAUCUUGCACUUAAAUUUGUAUUUUUGUAAGCUUUCUUAAUUAUUAAACCAGUGAAUAUAUAAGUUGUAUUUUUUAAAAAUCUGGAAUUUUUUAAUAUAUCUCAUGUGUUGUAGAGGGUGGAUUGUGGUUAGUGAAUAC